rnacentral:rRNA from 1 species
AACGCGAAGAACCUUACCCAGACUUGACAUGUAGGAGACAGCGGCAGAAAUGUCGUCUUCCGUAAGGACUGCUACACAGGUGCUGCAUGGCUGUCGUCAGCUCGUGCCGUGAGGUGUUGGGUUAAGUCCCGCAACGAGCGCAACCCUUAUCAUUAGUUACCAGCACUUCGGGUGGGAACUCUAAUGAGACUGCCUGGGUUAACCAGGAGGAAGGUGAGGAUGAGGUCAAGUCAGCAUGGCCCUUAUGUCUGGGGCAACACACGUGCUACAAUGGUCGGUAUAGAAGGCAGCAAGACCGUAAGGUGGAGCAAAUCCCCAAAGCCGGCCUCAGUUCGGAUUGUAGUCUGCAACUCGACUACAUGAAGUUGGAAUUGCUAGUAAUGGCGCGUCAGCUACAGCGCCGUGAAUACGUUCCCGGGCCUUGUACACACCGCACUACUA